AGGACGAACGCUGGCGGCGUGCUUAACACAUGCAAGUCGAGCGGUAAGGCUCCUUCGGGAGUACACGAGCGGCGAACGGGUGAGUAACACGUGAGCAAUCUGCCCUUCACAUUGGGAUAACUCCCGGAAACGGGUGCUAAUACCGGAUACGACCACUUCAGGCAUCUGAUGGUGGUGGAAAGUUCUGGCGGUGAAGGAUGAGCUCGCGGCCUAUCAGCUUGUUGGUGAGGUAAUGGCUCACCAAGGCUUCGACGGGUAGCCGGCCUGAGAGGGUGACCGGCCACACUGGGACUGAGACACGGCCCAGACUCCUACGGGAGGCAGCAGUGGGGAAUAUUGGACAAUGGGCGCAAGCCUGAUCCAGCCAUGCCGCGUGAGUGAUGACGGCCUUAGGGUUGUAAAGCUCUUUCGCUAGGGACGAUAAUGACGGUACCUAGACAAGAAGCCCCGGCUAACUCGUGCCAGCAGCCGCGGU
rnacentral:rRNA from 1 species